CGGACGGGUGAGUAACGCGUAGGAAUCUACCUAGUAGUGGGGGACAACAUGGUGAAAACCAUGCUAAUACCGCAUACGCCCUACGGGGGAAAGCGGGGGAUCUUCGGACCUCGUGCUAUUAGAUGAGCCUGCGUUAGAUUAGCUAGUUGGUGGGGUAAAGGCCUACCAAGGCGACGAUCUAUAGCUGGUCUGAGAGGAUGAUCAGCCACACUGGAACUGAGACACGGUCCAG
rnacentral:rRNA from 1 species